rnacentral:rRNA from 1 species
AUUGAACGCUGGCGGCAUGCCUUACACAUGCAAGUCGAACGGCAGCACGGGUGCUUGCACCUGGUGGCGAGUGGCGAACGGGUGAGUAAUACAUCGGAACAUGUCCUGUAGUGGGGGAUAGCCCGGCGAAAGCCGGAUUAAUACCGCAUACGAUCUACGGAUGAAAGCGGGGGACCUUCGGGCCUCGCGCUAUAGGGUUGGCCGAUGGCUGAUUAGCUAGUUGGUGGGGUAAAGGCCUACCAAGGCGACGAUCAGUAGCUGGUCUGAGAGGACGACCAGCCACAUUGGGACUGAGCCACGCCCCGAACUCCUACGGGAGGCAGCAUGGGGAAAUUUUGGCCAAUGGGCGAAAGCCUGAUCAGCAAUGCCGCGUGUGUGAAGAAGGCCUUCGGGUUGUAAAGCACUUUUGUCCGGAAAGAAAUCCUUGGCCCUAAUACGGUCGGGGGAUGACGGUACCGGAAGAAUAAGCACCGGCUAACUACGUG